UUCGUUCUUCUCAGUAUAUUCCACUUUCUUCAUUUUGGAACGUUAAAAAUUAUUUGAGAUUAUUUUAUUAAUAAUACUUCUCAUGUACAAGCUGCAAAAAUUUUAAACAUUCUGUAAUGAUCUGGCCGGUUAUUUUGAGCAUUUACACUUCGCUCGAUAGUAUGAGGGUAUGAAUAGCUUCGUAUGGUGUAUUAUGACUUUUGUGAAUCUUUGGUUUGGUUUUCAGGUUAUUCGGAAUCGAUUUGGAAGAAUGAAUUUCAUGAUUGAAGCUUCAAGUUAGAAGAGUUGACCAAGUUUGACUUUUUAACAUUUGACAUCGGAUUGGAGUUUUGAUGGUUCUGUUAGGUCCGGAUGGUGAUUUUGGACUAGGACGGAUGCCCGAACUUGCAUUUGGAUAUUUCUAGAAGGUUUCGUCACGAAUUGGCAAAAGUUGAACAUUUGAAGGUUUGGAAAGUUCAUAAGUUUGACGAGAGUUGAUUUUGAGGAUAUCGUAUUCGGAUUGUGGGUAACUUUGUUUUGUCAUUUAGGACUUCUUUGCAAAAUUUGAGUUCAUUCCUAAUUUAUUUGAUGUGUUUCAACAUGAGUUUUGGAAGUUGAAAGUUCAAAAGUUUGUUAAUUUUGACUUGAGGUGUGAUUCGUGGGUUCGAUAUCGUUAUGCAUGAUUUGAAUAAUCGAGUAUGUUUGUGUUAUGUUAUAGGACUUGUUGAUAUAAUUUGGCAAGGUCUCGAUGGCUUAGAAGAGUUUCGGACGAGGUUCGAAUCGUUUGGAUCAAUUUUGGAUAAGGUUGCUGGUGGCAGAAUAUAGUGUGAUCGCACAUGCGGCUGGUUUGCGUAGUCGCAGAAACGACAAAGCUGUCGCAGAAACAAGGUGAGAUUUGGGUGAGGAAGUUCCUAGAAGAGGAGAAUUUGGCGCAGGUGCGGAUGCACAGGUGCGAUGAAUUUGAAGCGCAGGUGCGAAGGUCUUCGCGGAAGCGGGGUUUGUCACCGCAGGUGCGAAAGUUGCUGGGACAGGCUGUUUUUGCAAAAGAGAAGCUUUUCACUGCAGAAUUGGAGGUCUCAAGUGUGACAUACUGUCCGUAAAUAUUGAAAACGCUGGGCAGAAUGCUUUAAGUUUUGGCCAUUUUUAUCACAUAUUGAGCAAUAGAUUUCAGAAGGGAGCGAUUUUGGAGGCAAAUUUCAUCAAAAGGAUUGUGGUAAGUGUUCUAUACUCGGUUUUGGUUAUAUUUUUGAAUCUAUCUUCAAUUUUGACGUGUGGAUUAUGAUUUUUAAAGAGAAAAUUGGAGUUUUUGCCUAAAGUUUCAUCGAGCGAAUUCUUGAAUUUUACACACUGAUUUGGAGUCGGAUUUGAAUGAAACUAGUAUGGUUGGACUCGUAAUUGAAUGGUUUGUCGGAGUAUGUGAGUUCUGUCGGGUUCCGAGGUGCAAGACCAAGUUUGACUCUUGGGUUGAUUUUGGAAUUUUGAUUAAAAAGAUACGACUUUUACUGAUUUGGUUUGUUCCCUUUGGUAUUAUUUGAUGUAUUUGAGUUGCUUUUGGCUAGUUUCGAGCCGUUCGGAGGUCGGUAUGCGCAGGAUGACAUUUUGGAGCAUCAUUUGUCCUGCUCAGUAUUGGAUUUGGCUUGUUCGAGGUAAGUAAGACUUCUAAACUUGGUGAUGAGGGCAUGAAUCACGAAUACGUAUUAUAUGUUUGGUGUUGAGGUGGCACACAUACUAAGUGACGGGUGUAUGGGCGUGCACCAUAUAGAUUGUGACUCCAUUAUUUCUGUGGUAUUGUGUAGUUACAUGAUCUUAUCUGUAACCAUAAAAUCUCUACGUACUAGAGCUAUUGAGUUGUGAUCCAUGUUAUAAACCAUGUCUAGGCUACAUAUUUAUUCUAUUGGGACUGACUGAGGUUAUUUCUACUGUUGAGUUAUUAGCUUAUAUUGCAAUUACAAACUCAGUCAUACGAAUUCAUGUGCAUAUCAUAUCUCAGUCUCUGUUACCAUUUAUUGAUACAUUACAUUAUUAUUUUUGGGCUAAUUUUCAUGACAUUAUGAGCCCGAGAGACUGAAGAGAUUGAUGAUUGAGCGAGGUGGAGGGCCUGAUUGUAAGGAUAUUGAUGGGAUCGGGCUGCACACUGCAGCUAGUAUUAUUGAUUUUAAUUGGAGCGGGUUGUACGCUGCAGCAGAUGCUAUUGAUUUACGCCAAGAUUAGCUUAUUAUAGCGUUUGUGCUGAAGGAUCCCCUCCGAAGUCUGCACACCCACAAUGAGCGCAGGUACCUAUUGAGUGCAAGUGCGAGUGCCGAGAGCGAGUGCUGAGUGACUGAAAGGACUGAGUGACUCGGAGGACCGAGUGAAUUAAUACUCUGAGAGCAUGCAUAUGGUUUAUCCCUGAGUUGCAUCGCAUUCGACACGCAUACUUGACACACAGGCAUAUAGAUGCAUUUUCCUCAUGAUGUACGGUAUCACGUCAUCCAUGAC
rnacentral:lncRNA from 1 species